UGUGGGAGCGGGCUUGCUCGCGAUGCCGGCGACUCGGUCUAUCAGUAAAACCUUGUCGGUCCAAUCGCGAGCAAGCCCGCUCCCACG
rnacentral:antisense_RNA from 1 species